GAUGAACGCUGGCGGCGUGCCUAAUACAUGCAAGUCGAGCGAACAGACGAGGAGCUUGCUCCUCUGACGUUAGCGGCGGACGGGUGAGUAACAUGUGGAUACUCUACUUAUAUGACUGGGAUAAUUUCGGGAAACCGGAGCUAAUACCGGAUAAUAUAUUGAACCGCAUUGUUCAAUAGUGAAAGACGGUUUUGCUGUCACUUAUAGAUGGUUCCGGGCCGCAUUAGCUAGUGGGUAAGGUAACGGCUUACCAAGGCAACGAUGCGUAGCCGACCUGAGAGGGGGAUCGGCCGCCCUAGAGCUGGACCACGGUCCAGGCUCCUACGGGAGGCAGCAGAAGGGAAUGUGCCGCAGUAGGCGAAAGCCUGGCGGAACAACGCCGCGUGAGUGAUAAAGGUGUUCGGUGCGUAAUACUCUGUUAUUAGUGAAAAACAAAUGUGUAAGGAACUAUGCACGGCUUGACGGUACCUAAUCAGAAAGCCACGGCUAACUACGUG
rnacentral:rRNA from 1 species